rnacentral:rRNA from 1 species
AUGCGGCUAUAUCUUCCAUGUGUCGAAGCACGACUUAGAGGCAAAACCGCAUUGAAAGCAAUGUCGCAAGUGAGGAAUAAAAGCAUUACAUCAACCAGAUACAAUCAAGUCCGACUAUGGAACCAAAAUAAAAGAAGAACCCCAAAUGCGACAAAGGUCCCCGAUCGACCCCAACUGGGCUCCACUACUGAUCAACUAGAACGAAACGACAUAAAGGACAAGAUCUUCAUCGAGCUCCUCCUUGAGCUUGGCUGCGUCACCUGCACGAUAUCAUCAGCACCUGCAAACUGGUUUUGGAAGUAUCUGUGA